GUGAGUAACACGUGGGCAAUCUGCCCUUCACUCUGGGACAAGCCCUGGAAACGGGGUCUAAUACCGGAUAACACUCUGUCCUGCAUGGGACGGGGUUGAAAGCUCCGGCGGUGAAGGAUGAGCCCGCGGCCUAUCAGCUUGAUGGUGGGGUAAUGGCCUACCAAGGCGACGACGGGUAGCCGGCCUGAGAGGGCGACCGGCCACACUGGGACUGAGACGCGGCCCAGACUCCUACGGGAGGCAGCAGUGGGGAAUAUUGCACAAUGGGCGAAAGCCUGAUGCAGCGACGCCGCGUGAGGGAUGACGGCCUUCGGGUUGUAAACCUCUUUCAGCAGGGAAGAAGCGAAAGUGACGGUACCUGCAGAAGAAGCGCCGGCUAACUACGUGCCACCAGCCGCGGUAAUACGUACGGCGCAAGCGUUGUCCGGAAUUAUUGGGCGUAAAGAGCUCGUAGGCGGCUUGUCACGUCGGAUGUGAAAGCCCGGGGCUUAACCCCGGGUCUGCAUUCGAUACGGGCUAGCUAGAGUGUGGUAGGGGAGAUCGGAAUUCCUGGAGUAGCGGUGAAAUGCGCAGAUAUCACGAGGAACACCGGUGGCGAAGGCGGAUCUCUGGGCCAUUACUGACGCUGAGGAGCGAAAGCGUGGCGAGCGAACAGGAUUAGAUACCCUGGUAGUCCACGCCGUAGACGCUGAGAACUACGUGUUGGCGACAUUCCACGUCGUCGAUGUCGCAGCUAACGCAUUAAGUUCCCCGCCUGGGGAGUACGGCCGCAAGGCUAAAACUCAAAGGAAUUGACGGGGGCCCGCACAAGCAGCGGAGCAUGUGGCUUAAUUCGACGCAACGCGAAGAACCUUACCAAGGCUUGACAUAUACCGGAAAGCAUCAGAGAUGGUGCCCCCCUUGUGGUCGGUAUACAGGUGGUGCAUGGCUGUCGUCAGCUCGUGUCGUGAGAUGUUGGGUUAAGUCCCGCAACGAGCGCAACCCUUGUUCUGUGUUGCCAGCAUGCCCUUCGGGGUGAUGGGGACUCACAGGAGACUGCCGGGGUCAACUCGGAGGAAGGUGGGGACGACGUCAAGUCAUCAUGCCCCUUAUGUCUUGGGCUGCACACGUGCUACAAUGGCCGGUACAAUGAGCUGCGAUGCCGCGAGGCGGAGCGAAUCUCAAAAAGCCGGUCUCAGUUCGGAUUGGGGUCUGCAACUCGACCCCAUGAAGUCGGAGUUGCUAGUAAUCGCAGAUCAGCAUUGCUGCGGUGAAUACGUUCCCGGGCCUUGUACACACCGCCCGUCACGUCACGAAAGUCGGUAACACCCGAAGCCGG
rnacentral:rRNA from 1 species